AUGGCAUCAAAUCAGCCAAUAAACAAGUCCUCAAUUAUGGCCAUGGCUUGGGGAUUAUUCAAUGAUGGUGCUGGGGUGCUUUCCAACCUCAAUGCAUGUCACGAAUUCUUCAGCUGGACGGCAUCAAUUAUAAGCGCCAUUCGUUAUCGACAAAGCGCCUCAGAAUCGUCAGACAGAGACAAGACAGAUGCACAACCACAUGAUAAAGGGAAAUUUGAUCGGCUGGAGGUUGAUCUUUGGAAGCUGAAGACAACAAUGCCCAAGAUGCUUGACCUCAUUGAUCGCGUCGAGUUUCUAAGCCAUAAGGAACAAGCGGCUACUCUCCUCCCGGAUAUUAAAGGUGCAGUGUUCGAUGCGGAGGACCUGCUUGAUGAGUUUGAUUAUGAUGUACUCAAGUUGAAGGUUCAAUGCAGCAAGAAUUUGGAGCCAGAUCAUUAUAAUGACACCUUUCUGGAAUUCUUUGACAGAUCCAGUGAUUACGUAAGACAAGUCAACAUGAUUCAAGAAAAAUUAGAUCAUGUUCAUAAGCAAGCCAUGGAUAUGGGCUUGCACCAAGCACCGCGGAAGUUUGAUAAAUCAGUUAGGCCAGAAACAACUACCAACUUUAAUUGUGUCGAAAAAAUGGUUGGUCGUGAAAAAGAAAUGAAGGAGUUGGUGGAAAGACUAGGAGUUCGUGGACUGAAGAGAGGAAGAACUGAAAGCAAAGCAAAAAUGACAAAGUUGCAUGUGUUAUCCAUUGUUGGCAUGGGAGGUGUCGGAAAGACAACAAUGGCCCAACAAAUCUGCAAGAAUGCAAAUGUGAAGAAACACUUUGGCCCCAUAAUUUGGACAUGUGUUUCAGAUGACUUUGACACAAAAAGGUUAACGAAAGCGAUUAUAGAGGGCCUUGGAGGAGAUGCAUCAUCUGAUAAUCUGAAUGUUCUUAUGGAUAAACUAGAAGGUCGUGUCAAGUCCAAAAAGUUCUUGCUUGUCCUUGAUGACAUGUGGGAUGAUAUCUUGAAGGAUGAUGCGGCAGGGUGGAAGAGCUUGUGUGCAUGUUUGAAAAAUGGCGCUGAAGGGAGUAGGAUUUUGGUCACCACUAGAUUCCACGAUGUUGGUGAGCUAGUUGGCCCUACGAAUAAUUAUGAGUUAAAUGGCUUAGAACCAAAGGUAUUCUGGGAUUUCUUCAAAUCCUGUGCAUUUGGAUCCACGAGUUCUUGCAACGACCAGAAGUUAUCGGAGUUGAAGCGCAUUGGUGAAGACAUUAUUCCAAAGUUAAAGGGUUCCCCAUUAGCUGCCAAGACUAUUGGACGCUUGCUGAGAAUGGAGCUAAGUACAAUACACUGGAAAAAUAUAAAGGAAAGUGAACUUUGGAAAUUAAAACAAUCAGAUACUGACAUUCUGCCAGCCCUUCGAUUGAGCUAUUUGUAUCUACCGCAGAAACUGAAGAGAUGCUUCUCAAUCUGUGCAAUGUUUCCCAAGGAUCACAAAUUUGGGAAGGAUUUUCUAGCUGAUAUUUGGAUUGCACAAGGAUAUGUGGAGGGGCCCGAAGAAGCAUCAAUCUGCUUUAAUGCCCUUGCAAAUCGUUCAUUCUUCCAGAAACCAUCACCGCAGAGUCCUAAGUAUGUUAUUCAUGACCUGAUGCAUGAUACAGCACAACUAGUCUCAAAGGAUGAGUGCUUCAUUAUAAAGCAUGCAAGUGACCUAGAUAAAGUUCCUUCAAAUGUUCGUCAUCUGUCAAUAUUCACAAACGGAAAUUUUCGGUGUUCUGAAUUGAAGAGCAUAUGCGACAAGAAAACUUUGAGGUCCCUGGUAUGCGAUGAAUCAUAUAGCAAAGCAAAAGAUUUUGAGCCUGUGAUAAACUGUUGGUUCAGGGAGCUACCGAAAAUCCGUGUAUUGAGUUUUAAACUUUCCGGAGUACGACAGCUACCUGAGAGCAUGGGCAACUCAAAGCAUCUGCGUUACCUUUCUUUACUUGGAAGUGUUACUUUCAGCACAUUUCCAUUAUCAGUAUGUCGUCUGCAUCAUCUGAAUAAUAUAGACUCUAGCAGUUGUGUGAUUGAAAAGUUUCCUCCAGGCUUCAGUGAUGUCCUCAUCUUAGAGAAGAUCAAUUCAAAGGGUUUUAGUUAUAGCAAGGACCACUCUGGCAAACUCUGGCUAAAAUGGUGCCUUCCGCUGCAAAGUCCUGAGGCGGUGAAGAUAACGGAAAACCAGAUGGAAAUGUUACCUCACUGGAAUCUCCAACAUUUGCAGGUAAUUGACUACCCAGGUGAAUCUUGUCCUACCUGGCUCCAGCCCAACCUCCUGCCAAGGUUACGUUCUCUUGAGUUUACAGAUUGUAUCAACUUGAAGAGCAUACUAUUCUUUCUCCAGUUAGAUGAGUCACUUGGCAAUACAUCACGGUCAGAAAACAUUAAUCGUCUUGAAGAGUUAGUCAUAACAAGAUGUGAUGAAAUCAGUUGGCAAGGCUCGGUGGUCUUACCUACUUCUCUUAGAAAGAUAGUCCUUGAGAGACCGGGCUAUUCCAUGGAUCACUUCGUGAGCUGCUUCCUUGACCUCACCUCCCUCACUUAUUUGAAAUUUUAUCACUGCGACUCGUUGACAGCUAUCCCUCUACAUGUGUGGAGAAACAAUCUUCCAUCCCUGGAGGAACUAUUUAUCUUUUAUUGCAAUAACCUUACAUCGAUAGUCUCUGAAGCAAGUAGUAGCAGUAGCACCACCAAUGGCGGUAUUAAAGGAUUCUCAUCCCUUGCUACGAUAUGUAUUCAUCACUGUGAUAAAUUAUUGAGCUUGCAUGAAUUCUUGAAGCCUGAUUGUCUACCUGCCGUGAAGACCAUUGAGGUUUACUAUUGUGAAGAGUUGAUGUCGCUGUCUGUUGAUAGGCUCGACGGGUUGCAGCAGUUGACAAUUAGAGGUUCUGAUAAGCUCAAUAUGGAGAGAGCAAUGAUAUUACCAUGCUCUCUUAAGAAGCUCGACUUGAAUUGUUGUCAGGGCAUAGAAUCCAUCAACCUAGCCAAUGGCCAGUUGGCAAGUUCUCCAGUAUUGGAGGAACUUAGCAUUUACAACUGUUCAGGCCUCAAGUCCAUUGGUGGUGCAGCAGCUGUUGAUAAAAUAAAGAAAGUGAGAAUAGAUGAGUGCCACGAGCUCAAGGAAAUACAACAGCCGCUCUUUCACUGGUAUGUACAAUGA
rnacentral:rRNA from 1 species